AAAUUUUGUGAAUAUCUUAGACUUUCAUGGCUCUUUUACAAAAGUAGGACAAUUUAAAUUGCCUGUAGAGGUAGAUGGGAUAAUAUUCUCAUUGUCUUUUCAGAUUAUCUGACUAAUCCCAUUAUGGAUCUUUACAUUACAACCUCAAGUGCUAAGAUUUCUUUGUUUAUCUGUCUCUCAGCGGUUCCUGUAUUAUCAUGCUUCUCUCAUGACUGCUAAUCUAUAUCAUCCUAGGAAAAAUCUCAGGUUAUUUAAGUUUCCUGAGUUUUAUCAAUUUGUCAUCCUCCUAUCUGUGAUCGAUAUUUCCUCUGUAAUAUGACUUGCUAUGUUUUCACCAAAAAAAAAAAUAUGUAUAUUCUGUUAUUCAGUUAAUGAGUUGAAGAUGCUACAUGGCUCUGGCUACAUUUAAAAAAAAAAAAAAAAUUCUGGAUAGUGGCUCAAGGUAUUUAAUUCUUUUUUAUAUGUAGUUCAAUUACUCUCAAUUUUUUUUUCUUUAACAUUUGUUAGUCCUAUCCUGCUGGUUGCUUUAUUUUUUUGUGCCAAUUCAUUCUUAGUAUAUUUUUCUCCCCUCUUUGUAUUGAUAUAAUUCAUCUAGUGGAAAUUACAGUGACACAAGCAACUAUGUUACACGGACUUGGGUACAGGUGGCGGAAAUGAAUGCAUAUCCAUUUGUUAGACUUGUAAACUUCCUAAAUUGAUAUGGGGAUAUUGAUCAAAAUUUAGACAUGAUUGCUCAGAUAAGUUAUGUAACAUCCCACAGUAGCCCUUCAUUAUCACAUGGAGAAGCUUCUACUUCUUCCACUCAUCAACCCUAGGCAACAUAGCUCUAUGCACAUCCUCAAAGAUUGUAACAUUCUUCUUUUUCUUCUUGGAUGUGUGUCGUGCACAUAUUCCAUAUCGUAUGAUUUUUUUCUUUCAAAGUACAAUAAAUAAGCAACUUAAAAGAUUAAGUGAACUAUGGGGAAAAAUUAAUAAAUUUAGUGGGGUCAACAUAUAACCUAAUUAUAUAAAGGAUUUCCAAGGGGUGGUGGAGGCAAGUGCCCUUAUUGCCCCCAUGGUAAAUUCCCUAUGAUCUCAAUUCAGUUGCUGUUGGAGUAUACAGGGGAAAAAGAUGGAAAUACAUAGAACAUACCAAAUGAUUUUACAAAAUUGAAAUUGCCUGUAGAUGUAUUUGGGAUAACAGGUUUAUAGUAGUUUUAGAUUAUCAGACGUAUCCCAUUAUGGAUCUUUGCAACCUCAAAUACUUUGUUUUUGUCUCUCUGCUGUUCCUGCAUAACAAUUCUCUCAUGGCUGCGUAAAACAUCAUUUAGGGAGGUUUUCUUGUCCUUUAUUACCUGUUAAUCCUCCUAUGUCCUAUCAUCCUUUUGUCCAUGAGUUCCUCUCUGUAGUGUGACUUGCCUUAUGAUGAAGCCUUGAUCUGCAGCUUCUGGUACUUGAGGGUCCUCUCUCUCUCUCUCUCUCUCUCUCUCUCUCUCUCUUUAUUGACUCUUAUACUUUCUCAUUUCAUCGUAUUUAGAGGUCUAACUUGAGCGUCAGAGGGUCUUUACCGAGACCCCCCUAGUGGACUUCUGACCUGUUUCGCUUUGUUUGGCAGGUCCCAAUGGCUAAGAUCAGAUUGUGGAACCCCUAGGUACUAGAAGCUGCAGAUCAAGGCUUCAUCACCUUGUUUUCACAAAAAAGAUAGGCAUAUUCUGUUUUUUGGUUAAUGACUUUAAGAUGCUGCAUGACUUUGGCUGUUUUGUUUUGAUAUAAUUCAUCUUGGAGAAAUUACAGUGGCAUAGAGAUGGUAGAAAGCUUCUUUUCUUUUCUUCUCUUUAUUUUUUUUUGGGGUACAAAAAUGGAAGCUAAGACCAACUACACUAAAAUCGUAGGCAGCAUAGCUCCACUUACAUACUUCUUGAUGAUAUGCUUGCCAUGACCACUAGCCACUAAGACAUCAGUCCCAAUUCACAGCUCAUUUGCUUAUGCAACUAGCCUAUCUGCACCAAAUCCCUUGUUUUUUGGUUACACAACAUUCAUUCUCUCUUCAGCUGCAACUGAUCUUCCUUAUCAGGUUACAGUAGGAAUGCAUAAUCUUCUAUCCUUACCUAUGAGCAAAAAGAACAUCAAGGGCAUCUACCUCAAGAAUUAGUGAAUUACCUAAGUUUUUCCAUAUACAAAUUGCAAUGUUAUAUGCUUGGACAUAUCCCUUUCAUGUUAUUCCAACUUUACAAAAAUUCUUUAUACAUUCUUCAUCUCAUUAGUGAAUGAACUACAUUCUGUUAUACAUUCUUCAUCAUCAUUCUCUUUCAGAGGCUACGUACUGUCCAGCUCUUGUAUUCUUGCUACAUAUUUUGUUCAUGUAAAAGAAUCUGAUGCAAUCGGUUUCUUCUUCCUGGAAUCUUCUGUUCUCUUGUUUUUCUUAGCUCUUUCUCUCGCUUUCAUUUUCUUCCUAAUCAAACACCUCAAUUAGGUCCAUUUGAACUCAGAUGAACAAAAAUACUAGAACUAGCAUUGAAGGGUUAAAUUUUAUGGUCUUUAAAGCAUCACUAAGCCAGUGUAACAGAGUGGCGCUGCGAUGCAAACCCUAAUUUAGCAAGUAGCAAAAUUGUGAACAACUCUAAUAGCAACCUUAGAGCUAAUAUAUCAAAAAGCUUUCGUUAUGCCAUUCUUCUUUGUCCUAUAAAAGAGAAUUUUCUAUAAAUUAAUAUCAAGAAAUAGUAAUGAUCUUUUUCAAAGAAAUGGAUUCAUUUGUCACGUGUGGUGGAUCAAUCACUUGAAAAACCUAGAAUAUUUAGGCAAGUACAUAAAUUUCUACUAUUAUAUUUCUAUUUGUAGGCAAAUACAAUAGUCCUAAUUUAACUAAGAAUCCUAUUUACAAAUAAAAUAAAGCCUAAACUAAUUAAUAACAAUAAAGAUGAUUUCAUUUUGCAUCCCUUCUUUGUGUUCUUUAGGUUCGUCUUCCAUUCAAGGUAAGUUCAUCAUAACUUUUAAGUGAAUUUACUUGUUUGGAUCCAAGUUGCAAUAGUACUAAUUCCUCAAAUCUGUUUGCAGUUAUCAUGGGUUUAUCAAGCAACAGUACCAUUGUCUUCAUCUUCUUCUGAGGAAGAUUCUCCAACGAAAGCUACAUAACAUACCUCGAAAGCUCUUCAAGGUGUAAGCAUCAACCAUCAUUUGAGACAGUUGUUGAAAUUUAUCCGAUACAAAUAUGGUGGAUAUCUUAAGGUUGUUUGAACUUGAGUUAGGAUUCAUGUAUUGGGUCUUUAUAAUUUUUCUUCAUUGAUAUCAGAUCCCUAAUAUUUGUUUCCUAGUCUAAUUAACAUGUAUAAUUUGUUUAUAGACUUAUGAUUGAUAUUUAUUUGUGAAUCAAUUCAUAAAGAUAAUUUUUUA